GACAGAGGGUGCAAACGUUGUUCGGAAUUACUGGGCGUAAGGCGCGUGUAGGCGGCCCUGCAAGUCGGGUGUGAAAUCCCACGGCUCAACCGUGGAAGUGCACUCGAAACUGCAGGGCUAGAGUCCUGGAGAGGAAGGUGGAAUGCUUGGUGUAGAGGUGAAAUUCGUAGAUAUCAAGCGGAACACCGGUGGCGAAGGCGGCCUUCUGGACAGUGACUGACGCUGAGACGCGAAAGCGUGGGGAGCAAACAGG
rnacentral:rRNA from 1 species